rfam:Balearica pavonina gibbericeps contig41745, whole genome shotgun sequence.
GAAUAGGCUUUUAUUAAAGCCACAGCAUAUUCCAGUAUUUUAUCUGU